rnacentral:lncRNA from 1 species
GUGCUGGGCAGCCCGAAGGGAAUGUGGGGUGGGGAAGGACACGUCCGCAUUGUCUGGAAGCCAGCGCGCCAGGCCAGGAGGCCAGCAGCUCUGCCACCCCAGGCUGGGCCACGUGGGCUUUUCUUCUCUCUCUUAAGAAAGCCCCAGAAGCCCUGUGGGGCCCUGCCUGUCCCCAGCUCCGGGCCUGCCAUGCCCUCUGCCCCUCCAGCGCCCCCUGGAGCCCUCACGUAUCUACCUCCACUGCAGGACGGACCCUGUCAAGGACCAGGUUGGGCCCCCAAUGUAUGUGUGGGUCCCCUGGCGCCAGGGCGACGGUACCACGAAGGAGGCAGUCAAGCCGCAAGUCCCCGACGCCCGCAGAGGGUCCAGCCUGGCUCCGUGCCCCCAAACCCAUCCUCUUCAGAGGCCCGUGGAUCUGCGACCUUCCCACAGCCAUGGAGGCCACUUUGCCCCACCAGAGGCUUCCAGAGCGUCACCGCCUCAGAGAUGCAAACCCUACCCACAGUCCGCUGCUUCCAGACAGCCCGGGUGGGCUCCCCACUCCUGCCAGCACAGCGUCUGCCCAGAAGGCCUCCAGGAGCACCCCUUGGGAUUCUCGGACACCCACAGGCUCCCGGGCCUGGCUGGGAGGGCCCCUCCGUCCAGGGCACUGCAGUGGGGCUGAGCUCCAAGCCAGGACCUGUGCCAGGAAUCUCCCCUCCCUGGACGGACCAUUCUCCUCGCUUUUCUUUUCUUUUCUUUGUUUGUUUGUUUUUUGAGACAAGGUCUCACUAUGUAGCUGAGACUGACCUGGAACUCACUGUGUAGCCCAGGCUGGUCUCGAACUCACAGCGAUCCUCCUGCCUCAGCCUCCCGAGUGCUGGGGUUACAGGCUUCUCCUCACUUUUCACUCUGUCCUGUAAUUUGCAGGGACAGGAGAACUGGCCUCAUCCAUUUCCCCAACCCAUGUCUGCCAAGCGCCUCGAGUUCCAAGCGUGGGGCAGGGUGGGGGAUGCAGAGGCCGAGAGGACCCCGAUCCAGUCCCACCUAGGUCCUCCCAGGCGGUGACCACAGCUAGAAGGACAAAUCCCGAAGGAGCUCCGGCUGGAGAAGGCGAAAACCAGGGCUUCCUUUCCACAGCAUGGGACCUGGUGGGGGUAGCCCUGCCCGAACCCAAGUAAGCGGUGACCUCCCGGCCACCUGCUCCAGUCCCCACCCCACCUUCCUCCUGGCAGCCUGGGUUUCCAGACUAGAAAGCCAAUGGGAUUACAGGGAAUCAAGGUACAAACCUCGCCAGCCGGCAGGACCCACAGGGACACUCAUGCCCACGUGGGACAGGCAGCAGAGCAUGGCGGGGCGAGGGCAGCCAGGUUUCCCACUUUCUCCGGAGACAUCAGGGGUCUGGGGCACUCGCCAGAGCCGGCCAGAGAAGCAGGAGUAGAGGGGCGCAGUCCUUUCAUCCCAGCAUGGUCAAACCAGAAUUCAGACCCAGAAGGUCCUGAAAAGCCCUUGUCAUCCAGAAACCUUUUUAAAUUUGUCUCAUGCAACUUGAUGAGCCAGGAGGACUGCAAGUUCUAGCCCCACAGGGGCAACUUAAAGAGACCCUGUGCCAAAAUUAGAAAUACAUGUAUUUACAAGGGCUGGGGAUGUGGCUCAGGGCAGGGCCUGGGCUCCGUCCCUGCCAACCAGCUGCAGUCAGACGCUGAGUGGGAGGGAAGGACCGAGCCCGAAAGUCACAAGUCCCCAUACAUCAAAUGAGCACACCAGGCCCGUCCACCUCUCCUCACUGCCCUUGACAGGGCCCUUUCUGUGUGCACAGAUGUGACAGCUGUACCCUGGUCUCAUCCCUCUGCCCCUGUGCCUCUGCCUGGGCCGCCCCCGUCCUGCACACCUGGUCUGUGCAGCCUCCCCAGCCCGGCCUUCCGUCCCUGCCUGGGACACCUCACACAGCGCCGUCCCCUGGAGGGGGAUACGAUGCCCUGGCCACCAAGGCCUCGGCUGUGUCCCCUGGGCCAGCAAAUCCGGCCUGACUGUCAUCAGCACCCACUCCCUCAGCCCUCUGCCUUCUCCCCUCCUGGUCGGCAGCUGAGGACAUCUGGGGCCACUUUUCUGUGGGCCGUUAACAGUGCUGGUGAGCGCUGGGGAUUUAGCUCAGUGGCACCUCACCCGCCUGGCAAGCACAAGGUCCUGAGUUUGAUUCCUGGUACCAAGAAAAAACAAAAUAAAACAAAACACAGUGCUGGUGAAACAAAGGUCAGCCCAGGGGCUCUGCGAAGACCCCGCCCCGGACCGCGAGAGGGUCUCCUCUCCAGUCCCCAUCCACUGGGUCUUGGAACCCGUCCCAGAGAGAGCUGUACCUGAGAAGUGAAUGGUGUGCGGGUGAGCGUGUAUGUUUUGAACAGCCAAUUAAAACUUCCCAUUCAGCUGGGUGUGGUGAUUUGUGUCUGUGAUCCCAGCACCUGGGCGGCUGAGGUAGGAAGAGAGCAACUUAGUAACCUAGCAAGACCCCAUCUCAAGGUUAAAAACAAAGCUGGAGGUAACUCAGUGCAAAGGUCCUGGGUUUAGAUCCCAGGGCUACAAAUUCUCC